GUAUGUUUGUGUAUUGAUAGUGUUCAGAACCAAGGACAGGCAUGUUUGUGUGUGUGUGAAUUGUGUUCAGCACCAAGGACAGGUGUAUUUGUGU
rnacentral:pre_miRNA from 1 species